AGUGAACGCUGGCGGCAGGCCUAACACAUGCAAGUCGAACGGAAGCACAGUAAGAGCUUCUUCUUACGGGUGGCGAGUGGCGGGCGGGUGAGAGAUACAUCGGAAUUUAUUUUUUCGAGGGGGAUAAAGUAGGGACAAUUACGCUAAUAGCCCAUACGCACUACGGGUGAAAGCAGGGGAUCUUCGGCUCUUGCGCGAGUGUAUGAGCCGAUGUCGGAUUAGCUAGUUGGCGGGGUAAAGGCCCACCAAGGCGACGAUCCGUAGCUGGUCUGAGAGGAUGAUCAGCCACACUGGAACUGAGACACGGUCCAGACUCCUACGGGAGGCAGCAGUGGGGAAUAUUGGACAAUGGGCGCAAGCCUGAUCCAGCCAUGCCGCGUGGGUGAAGAAGGCCUUCGGGUUGUAAAGCCCUUUUGUUGGGGAAGAAGAGCAGCAAGUUAAUACCUCGCUGUUCUGACGGUACCCAAAGAAUAAGCACCGGCUAACUUCGUG
rnacentral:rRNA from 1 species